rfam:Nipponia nippon contig51788, whole genome shotgun sequence.
AGAACGGCUCUCUUCAGAGCCACCUACAAAAACAAACAAUGCAGU